rnacentral:rRNA from 1 species
GAGUUUGAUCCUGGCUCAGGAUGAACGCUGGCGGCGUGCUUAACACAUGCAAGUCGAACGAAGCACUUUAUUUGAUUUCCUUCGGGACUGAUUAUUUUGUGACUGAGUGGCGGACGGGUGAGUAACGCGUGGGUAACCUGCCUUGUACAGGGGGAUAACAGUUGGAGACGGCUGCUAAUACCGCAUAAGCGCACAGCAUCGCAUGAUGCAGUGUGAAAAACUCCGGUGGUAUAAGAUGGACCCGCGUUGGAUUAGCUAGUUGGUGAGGUAACGGCCCACCAAGGCGACGAUCCAUAGCCGACCUGAGAGGGUGACCGGCCACAUUGGGACUGAGACACGGCCCAAACUCCUACGGGAGGCAGCAGUGGGGAAUAUUGCACAAUGGGCGAAAGCCUGAUGCAGCGACGCCGCGUGAGCGAAGAAGUAUUUCGGUAUGUAAAGCUCUAUCAGCAGGGAAGAUAAUGACGGUACCUGACUAAGAAGCACCGGCUAAAUACGUGCCAGCCGCCGCGGUAAUAC